rnacentral:rRNA from 1 species
AGAACGAACGCUGGCGGCAUGCCUAACACAUGCAAGUCGAACGAGACCUUCGGGUCUAGUGGCGCACGGGUGCGUAACGCGUGGGAACCUGCCUUUAGGUUCGGAAUAACUCCUCGAAAGGGGUGCUAAUACCGAAUAAUGUCUUCGGACCAAAGAUUUAUCGCCUUUAGAUGGGCCCGCGUUGGAUUAGCUAGUUGGUGGGGUAAAGGCCUACCAAGGCGACGAUCCAUAGCUGGUCUUAGAGGAUGAUCAGCCACACUGGGACUGAGACACGGCCCAGACUCCUACGGGAGGCAGCAGUGGGGAAUAUUGGACAAUGGGCGAAAGCCUGAUCCAGCAAUGCCGCGUGAGUGAUGAAGGCCUUAGGGUGUAAAGCUCUUUUACCAGGAUGAUAAUGACAGUACCUGGAGAAUAAGCUCCGGCUAACUCCGUGCCAGCAGCCGC